rnacentral:snRNA from 1 species
CUGAUACGUCCCCUACCCGGGGACCAUAUAUUAAAUUGAUUUUUGGAACAGGGAGAUGGAAUAGGGGCUUGCUCCGUCCACUCCACGCAUCGACCCGGUAUUGCAGUACCUCCGGGAACGGUGCACCCCCC